AUUUGAAAUGGUGCUUUCUUCACGUUAGUCACUUACAGUACGGUUCCAUUAAAAUCAUCUGAUAUUUGCAGUUAGUACAAAAGUAUAGAAACAUGAAAGUGUUCCCAUAAAGUGCAUAGUUAUCUGAGAGCUGAGUUCACGGGGAUUAGCGGCUGGCAACUAAAGGAAGCAAAUAAAAUCAUUCUGGUGUGCAGAUAUGAGCUAAUGAGGAAUAAACAUCUUUUGGAGAACAAUCAGACCUGCACCUUCAGGUCCUUCUUUAUCAUCCCUUCUUAACUUAAGGCUUCCUUUAAUUUUCAGUUUGGAGAUUUGGCCAGGAGAUAAUUCACCCUGUAGGGUGUGGAUCCUUUUUCAGGCAGGGAGGGGGGCGAGGUUUGCCUCAAAUGCUGAAAUGCCAUUGGUCCGUGCCAGCAGGUCAAAUAGCAAUACUUGGGUCAGGUAGACAGAUAAAGUCAGACUGACAGCAGAGGAGUUUGUAAGUACUACUCCUCACCUCCGUCAUCCCCCGGCCGUCGUUUUUGGUUAUUUUUGUCUCGAACGAAGGCAGACCUUCAGAGGCCGAGCAGAAGGCUUUUUUCCGUUCGCUUGCAAAGAUUCCAACUGUGAUUUCUUGCCUGUUUAACAACUUUUAAAACUUCUUAACCUUUUUGAAAGUUUUUGGUUGAGUUGUGCAGUGAUCUUUGCAAGUGUUUCACUCCUGGAUCUAACAGGGGAAAAAAGAUUUGUUCCGUGUCGCUCCGGAAAGGUCCGCGGCUGGGUGGUCGCCUCCAUCUCUCUGUGUGUCCUAUCCUUCAUUCCACCGGAGUCUGUGUCUUUCACUGAUCAGAUUUCAGUGGUGUGAAGUGUAAGAAACACAGGGCUGACACCUGGGGAGUGAGACGCCUGGAGGGGGACCGCUGCGUCCGAACGUCCUGCGAGGCCGGACACCAUUCCGCACUGCGGCUCGCAUCCCAGGCGUGUAACCAGUGUAUGCGAGUGUCUGCCAAAAUCUCCAGUGCUCAGUAACACCCAAAAGCAUUGCACUGCCUCAAGCCUUAUCCUCACAGCUGUUCAAUAGGUAAAAUCCAUGCACAUGCCCUUUAAGGGCAACAUUCAUUUUCAAAUCAUGCUGGAAUAUCACAUCGAUUUCCUGCCACCCCCCCCCCCCUCCCCCUCCCCCAAACAAAUGACCAUCCAGAAAAAUCUAAGCUGAUCCUUUUUUUCGUGCAUUUUAGAGAAACACUAACCCAAACUCACAAUCAUAAACCCAUUUGCAAAUCAAUAGCUGUUGGAGAUUUUCUCCUUGAAUAAGGGAUAAGGGACUUUUUGGAGAACCAAACGUACCAGUUAAACAUCACAUUUUCAUCCUC